AUUGAACGCUGGCGGAAUGCUUUACACAUGCCAGUCGAACGGCAGCACGGGGGCAGCCCUGGUGGCGAGUGGCGAACGGGUGAGUAAUACAUCGGAACGUGCCCGGUCGUGGGGGAUAACGUAGCGAAAGUUACGCUAAUACCGCAUACGAUCUGAGGAUGAAAGCGGGGGACCUUCGGGCCUCGCGCGAUCGGAGCGGCCGAUGUCAGAUUAGGUAGUUGGUGGGGUAAAGGCCUACCAAGCCGACGAUCUGUAGCUGGUCUGAGAGGACGACCAGCCACACUGGGACUGAGACACGGCCCAGACUCCUACGGGAGGCAGCAGUGGGGAAUUUUGGACAAUGGGCGCAAGCCUGAUCCAGCCAUGCCGCGUGCAGGACGAAGGCCUUCGGGUUGUAAACUGCUUUUGUACGGAACGAAAAGGCUCUGGCUAAUACCUGGGGCUCAUGACGGUACCGUAAGAAUAAGCACCGGCUAACUACGUG
rnacentral:rRNA from 1 species